rnacentral:rRNA from 2 species
ACAUGCGACCAUACCCACUGGAGAACUCGGGAUCCCGUCCGCUCUCCCAUCGAUAAACCAGUGAGGGCCGGAGUAGUAGUUGGGUCGGUGACGACCAGCGAAUGCCUGGUGUUGCAUGUU